UGAUAUGAUGAAUACACUGGACUCUGAGCAGUUGAUUGAUGGACAUGCAGCCUAGUAAGCUUCAUUUGAAUC